rnacentral:rRNA from 1 species
UUCGCAAUGCCCGAAAGGGUGACGAAGCGACGCCGCGUGGGUGAGGAAGGCCCUCGGGUUGUAAAGCCCUGUCAGGAGUUAAGAAAUGUAAGUGUGCUAAUACCAUAUUUAUUUGACGAAGGCUCCAAAGGAAGCCACGGCUAACUCUGUGCCAGCAGCCGCGGUAAUACAGAGGUGGCAAGCGUUGUUCGGAAUUAUUGGGCGUAAAGAGCACGUAGGUGGGUUUGUAAGUCAGAUGUGAAAGCCUUCUGUUCAACGGAAGAAUUGCAUCUGAAACUGCGAAUCUUGGGUGUAGGAAGGGAGAAUGGAACUUCUGGUGGAGCGGUGAAAUGCGUAGAUAUCAGAAGGAACGCCGGCGGCGAAAGCGAUUCUCUGGCCUAUUACUGACACUCAGUGUGCGAAAGCCAGGGGAGCAAACGGGAUUAGAUACCCCGGUAGUCCUGGCCGUAAACGAUGGGCACUAAGUAGAGGGGUUA